rnacentral:rRNA from 1 species
CGUACACUCCUGCGGGAGGCAGCAGUGGGGAAUUUUGGACAAUGGGCGAAAGCCUGAUCCAGCCAUGCCGCGUGCAGGAUGAAGGCCUUCGGGUUGUAAACUGCUUUUGUACGGAACGAAACGGCCUUUUCUAAUAAAGAGGGCUAAUGACGGUACCGUAAGAAUAAGCACCGGCUAACUACGUGCCAGCAGCCGCGGUAAUACGUAGGGUGCAAGCGUUAAUCGGAAUUACUGGGCGUAAAGCGUGCGCAGGCGGUUAUGUAAGACAGUUGUGAAAUCCCCGGGCUCAACCUGGGAACUGCAUCUGUGACUGCAUAGCUAGAGUACGGUAGAGGGGGGUGGAAUUCCGCGUGUAGCAGUGAAAUGCGUAGAUAUGCGGAGGAACACCGAUGGCGAAGGCAAUCCCCUGGACCUGUACUGACGCUCAUGCACGAAAGCGUGGGGAGCAAACAGGAUUAGAUACCCCAGUAGUCCC